rnacentral:rRNA from 1 species
GAUGAACGCUGGCGGCGUGCCUAAUACAUGCAAGUCGAGCGAACAGACGAGGAGCUUGCUCCUUUGACGUUAGCGGCGGACGGGUGAGUAACACGUGGAUAACCUACCUAUAAGACUGGGAUAACUUCGGGAAACCGGAGCUAAUACCUGAUAACAUGUUGAACCGCAUGGUUCAACAGUGAAAGACGGUCUUGCUGUCACUUAUAGAUGGAUCCGCGCCGCAUUAGCUAGUUGGUAAGGUAACGGCUUACCAAGGCAACGAUGCGUAGCCGACCUGAGAGGGUGAUCGGCCACACUGGAACUGAGACACGGUCCAGACUCCUAAGGGAGGCAGCAGUAGGGAAUCUUCAGCAAUGGGCGAAAGCCUGACGGAGCAACGCCGCGUGAGUGAAGAAGGUCUUCGGAUCGUAAAACUCUGUUAUUAGGGAAGAACAAAUGUGUAAGUAACUAUGCACGUCUUGACGGUACCUAAUCAGAAAGCCACGGCUAACUACGUG